GUCUUCUACCUCCCUGAGGUCUCUAUGUCUCAGUGAGGUCUUCUACCUCCCUGAGGUCUCUAUGUCUCAGUGAGGUCUUCUGAUGCCAGGAGAUCUUGGGAAUCCUGGUCUUUUACCUCCCUGAGGUCUCUAUGUCUCAGUGAGGUCUUCUACCUCCCUGAGGUCUCUAUGUCUCAGUGAGGUCUUCUGAUGCCAGGAGAUCUUGGAAAUCCUGGUCUUUUACUUCCCUGAGAUCUCUAUGUCUCAGUGAGGUGUUCUGGGAUCUGUUCUUUCUUUUUCAAAGAAAAUUAAUACUCACAGUAAUAAAGAUAACAUUGCUUUGCAAAAAUGGUGUUAUUUUAUUCUUUCAUGUUUUCAGAGCACAAGAAUUUUCUUUACAAAUGUUGUUAGGGAAGUACCUCUUUAGGUGCUGGAUAUUCCAGGCGCGAGGCUCAGGGUUUCCCUGCACGUUUUCGAUCUGAUAGACUCCCAGUCCGACCAC
rnacentral:lncRNA from 1 species